UAGACUUGGCAAAAAAUUAUGAUGCCUUGAAAAUCCAUGAGAGUUCUGUCAAGCCAAUGCCAUUUGAACAGCUUGCUCGAUUGAUUGAAUCUGCUACUACCCUACAGACUGUUAAAGCUCUACUUGAUCGACUAGAAAGCCGCCUUAGAGUUUCCAGGGCUGUUGGUAGUAAUCAUUCAAUCAGUUUAGACAACAUCGAUCACCUUCUAAAAAGAGUAGCCACCCCAAGGAAACGGGUUUCUACUAGGAAUUCUGUGAGGAGCAGAGAGGCAAAGAAAGUAGGUGCUGUUAGGGAGGCAGCUAGAAGUCCAGCUAAAUCAUCAAGGUAUCCUGUGAGAGUAGUUCUUUGUGCCUACAUGAUUCUGGGUCAUCCAGAUGCUGUUUUGAGUGGUCAAGGGGACCGUGAGAUUUCUUUGGCCAAGUCUGCUGAAGAAUUUAUACGACAGUUUGAGUUGCUAAUAAGAAUUAUACUAGAUGGUCCCAUACAGAGUUCUGAUGAGGAAUCUGACUCCAUUUCACCAAAACGCUGUACCUUUAGGUCUCAGCUUGCGACAUUUGAUAAAGCAUGGUGCUCCUACUUGAAUUGCUUCGUUGUGUGGAAGGUUAAGGACGCCCAGUCAUUGGAGGAGGAUAUGGUGAGAGCUGCUUGCCAACUUGAGGUUUCUAUGAUUCAGAAAUGCAAGCUGACACCAGAAGGGGAUAGUGAUGCUCUUAGUCAUGAUAUGAAAGCUAUUCAGAAACAGGUUACUGAAGAUCAAAAGCUUUUGAGGGAAAAGAUACAACACCUGAGUGGAGAUGCUGGGAUUGAGCGUAUGGAACAUGCUCUAUCAGAAACACGAUCUAAAUACUUUCAAGCAAAGGAAAAUGGAAGUCCAGUUGGGUCACCAAUCACACACUUCCUUUCUCCUGUCACAUCUAGCUCCCUUGUUGGUCCUUCUGUUGGUAGCUCAGCUUGCACAAGUGAUAUGGUUGAGAGUAUUGAGAGGCCAAACCAUGUAGUUCGCUCCUUGUUCAGAGACAAUGAUGCUUCCCAACCCAAUGGAUUUAGUUCCUCUACAAUUAGCAGCAGCCAUUUUGAUGGUCAGUUGGGUUCUUCUGUUGACAAGUUUAUAUCAGAGAAUGAAUUGAUUGUAAAUGAAUUUCUCCAUGAGCGACAUCAUAGCAUUGUUGAUGUCCUCAAUACUGACAAAGAAAACAGUAUCAAGGUUAGUGCAUUCUCAUAAUUAAUCAAUUGCAAGUGUGUGAACACUACUAUGUUUUGUGGUUUGUAUUGGGUUUUAGCCUCUUAUAUUUGUUUUCUGUUAAUGGUUUAAAAUUAGUGAAAUGGGUGAACCAGUUCUGGAGGUGCCUUUGAAAUACUUCAUAGAAUCAUAGUAGCUGAUUUGUUUUCUUGUCUUAUUCCUUGCAGGCAAAAAUAAGAGAGACAAUGGAGGCUGCCUUUUGGGAUGGUGUCAUGGAAUCCAUCAAACAGGAUGAGCCAUGCUAUGAUCGGGUUGUUGAACUUGUGAGGGAGGUGAGGGAUGGAAUUAGUGAGAUGGCUCCAGAAAGCUGGAAACAACAGAUUGAUGAAGCUAUUGAUCUAGAUAUUCUCUCUCAGGUGUUAAAGUCAGGUACACUGGACAUUGAUUAUCUUGGAAAGAUUCUAGAGUUUGCAUUCAGUACUUUGCAAAAGCUUUCCUCUCCAGCCCAUGAGGAGGAAAUGAAAGUUACUUAUCAGAAAUUAUUGAAAGAGUUGGCUGAGACAUGUGAAACCCGAGUUGAGUCAUCGUGUUCCCAUGCGCUUGCAAUGAUCAAGGGUGUGCGCUUUGUAUUAGAGCAUAUUCAGGCUCUUAAGCAAGAGAUAAGCAAAGCACGUAUAAAAAUGAUGGAGCCUUUGUUGAAGGGACCUGCUGGUUUGGAUUACCUUAGAAAAGCUUUUGCCAACCAUUAUGGAUCUUAUUCUGAUGCCUGUAUGUCUCUACCUUUGACCAUGCGGUGGCUUUUAUCUGUGAGGAAUUGCAAAGACCAGGAGUGGGAAGAGCAUAUCAACUUUAUCUCUUCUUUGAUCAACCAUGAAAGUUCAUCUCAGGAGUUUCUUCCUUCCACUACUCUUAGAACCGGUGGAAGCUUUAUGCUGAAAACAAAAGGAAGUGGAGCUGCUUAUACUUCAUCUGCUUCCAAUACUACAGGUGGUCAGAAACCAGAACCAGAAUGCAAUGGUGAUAGAAUUGAUUUAUCGGUGAGGCUUGGAUUGUUGAAGCUAGUGAGUGGGGUUUCUGGCCUAACACAAGAAGUUCUUCCUGAAACCUUCUUGCUUAACCUGCCUCUUCUGAGGGCUGCCCAGGCUCAAAUCCAGAAGAUCAUAGUAAUAUCAACUAGUCUUCUUGUUUGCCGGCAAACACUACUGAUGGAGCAAGUAGUAGCCAGUGGUGCAGAUGUGGAAAGCAUAUUAUUGAAGCGCACCAAGCAAUUGCUGGCGCUCUUAGACCGUGUUGCCGAUGUGGGCAUUGAUGAGAUCGUAGGGGUAAUAAGUGAGCACUCACAAGAAGAUGACAGGGCAGCAGACCCUGAGAAACUUAAAUCAAGGAAGUUAGUCAUGGCUAGGAUGUUAGGAAAGAGCUUGCAGGCCGGGGACCCUGUUUUUGAAAAGGUCUCCCAUGCUGUUUAUUUGGCCACGAGAGGAAUUGUACUAGGCGGCAGCGGGCCUCAGGGUAGAAAACUAGCAGAAAUGGCACUCCGGCAAGUUGGGGCUGUCAUGCUAGCUGAAAGGGUGGUGGAAACUGCUGAAGUAUUGGUGGUAGCUGCCACUGUGUCUGUUGCUGUACAUGGGCCAUGGUAUAUGAAUCUAGCUGAUAACAUGUGAUGGAAUUGUAUGCACAAGGAAAGUGGGAGACAGAAUGAUAAUGCAGAAUUGUAAAAAGUAGUGUGCGUAAAAGCCCUGUAAUUGAAAAAUAAUAUUUGAUCAUAAUGCACAUUCUUCAGUGAUUGUAAUGUAGAAUUCAUUGAUGUAGUGAAACAGAGGAGACUGCAAUUUUGUGCUUUGCUUGUUUAGGUUAAACUGUCUAAAUCUUGUUUUUGGCUGCUAAAGCAUGCACACUCCAAAGUGUAAAUUUAGCAUCCAAACUAUUGCUUCCCCAUCUGGAUUUCAACAUAUUGAAUUUGAUGUAGUGUGAAAUUUACAACUUUCUUGCAAUACAAAUCUAAAUUCACAUCACAUUUCUAUGGUGAUUUUAUUAUUUAAUGAAAUAAAUGUUAUUUUAUAAAUAAUCACCAUAGGUGAAUGGAAUCUGCAUCUGUAGAAAUCGCCUCAUUUCAAAUGUUGAACGUUAAAUCCUAUUUGUUUCGCAAGUGACCCGCUCCAAUAGCCUUCUUGAUCAUUUCACGUCUAAAAGCGUACGCCUCUUGCAGAGCAGAUUCUGUUGGUUGACCUCCAAUAAUCUUGGAUGUCAUUGUUGGAGGAUCCACAUCUCUAAUCUCUCUUUUUGAGAUUGCACAACUGGUAUGAAAAUCCAGGCAGCAGCCAAAGCAUUUGUAGCCAAUGAACUUCCCAAACUCAUCACACUCGUAGCAUUUAUACUCAUAAUCAAACCAAAAUGGCAUGAUAACAAAGCUAAGUGGGUGUUCAUGUCUUUCAUGUCUGCAAAUUGUUGGUAAAACCCCACACCUGAUAUGGGUCUGUAACAGGCAAUUGUUGCAUUUCGAGGAGUAGCUUUCACAAACCUUGCACUUGUAUGUCACUGGAAAGUUGUAAUAGGAUGGUUUUGGGUUUAUGUAGAACAGGCGGGACUUUGAAAUUACUUCUAAAUCUGUGGAUAGCUCGGCACACGCUUUGUGAAGAAUGAACUCAUCGCACUCGACGCAUUGAUAGAUUGGACCAGAAAUGACAUUUUGACAAUGGUUGCAAUGGAGUUCAUUGGAUCCUAUCUUUGGCUCUUCAGUGAAGGAAAACUCAUGGGCAUGCGCUUCUGUGAGAAGACUCAGAUCAGGCAUCAUCUUACUAUCCUGUGAAGGAUCAAAUACUUCAAAUUUGCUCCCUUCACCUUCACCUCCACCUUUAGGGUCCUGAAGAUGUACCGCUUCAUAGUUUUCCACAGCCCCAAGUAUCUUAGGGACAAAUCUCUCCACAUCAAACGUCUCCAUCAUGCUGAUGCUGAAGAAUCGAACAUGUUUAGCCCUGUAAUCAUUAUCAAGAACCGGAUUGAUUUGAUCUGAAGAGCAAUCAAUUAUGAUCAAAAGGGCUUCCUUAGAAGCUGCCAGCUGCAACAAAAGCUCAAAGUGAUAAAUUUCAGAGAGUGAAGUAUUGAUGAUAACUGGGAACUUCAAGAGGAGUAGGGUUGAGGAGAUCUGAAUGGCAAGUUUGAAAGACAAGUCUUUAGAAAAUGAGGUAGAUGUAGCAGUGGUGGAGGGAGUUAGAAGGGGGUUCUGAAGAUCUGGAAUCAUUUGACUGAUAUCUCUUUCAUCAAUUAGAGGAUGGUUAAGGGACAUGGCUAAUUUGUAAGCUAUUUCACUCUGUUGAUUGUUUAAAGAGCCUCUAAUUGCUAUGAUCACUGGCAACUUCGGUUGUUUUUGCUCACCGCUGUUGGCUACUUCCAUUCUCUCUUUUCUGAGUAAUGACCAUGCAAUGGAACUGUACU
rnacentral:misc_RNA from 1 species